GUUCCUGCAUGGCAGAAUGGGGUUGGGCUGGAUGCCCUCCCCCUGGACUCUUCCAACUCUACGGUUCUGUGACUCAAUCAGAGAAGCUGCAGCCAUGAGCAGCAGAGUGACUGAGGGUGGAGUGACUUGGAGGCCAUAGGGUUCAUAGAGUUGACACGGGUCAAAGUCAACUUAAAGGCGGCUAACAACAACAAAAGCAGGUUUAAAAGAAUUCUUCAGUGGGCUUGCAACAAGUAUAUUGUGCAUUUCGGUUGGCCAAUAAAGACUGUAUUUGGCUGUUCCUGUUAUGUUUUGAUAAUCUGGCCAUGGUUACCACACUGGACUCACUGAACAACACAUCUGUUGGUCUAUAUUGGAAGCACCUUGAGGCCCAGGACCAGCCUGGAGAAUCACAGAAUCAUAGAGUUGGAAGAGACCACAAGGGCCAUCCAGUCCAACC